ACCUCUUCCCAUCCCGAACAGAGAAGUUAAGCCCGGGCGCGCCGAUGGUACUGCACCGCAAUGCGGGAGAGUAGGUCGCCGCCUUCU
rnacentral:rRNA from 1 species